AUUGAACGCUGGCGGCAGGCCUAACACAUGCAAGUCGAGCGGAUGAAGGGAGCUUGCUCCUGGAUUCAGCGGCGGACGGGUGAGUAAUGCCUAGGAAUCUGCCUGGUAGUGGGGGAUAACGUCCGGAAACGGGCGCUAAUACCGCAUACGUCCUGAGGGAGAAAGUGGGGGAUCUUCGGACCUCACGCUAUCAGAUGAGCCUAGGUCGGAUUAGCUAGUUGGUGGGGUAAAGGCCUACCAAGGCGACGAUCCGUAACUGGUCUGAGAGGAUGAUCAGUCACACUGGAACUGAGACACGGUCCAGACUCCUACGGGAGGCAGCAGUGGGGAAUAUUGGACAAUGGGCGAAAGCCUGAUCCAGCCAUGCCGCGUGUGUGAAGAAGGUCUUCGGAUUGUAAAGCACUUUAAGUUGGGAGGAAGGGCAGUAAGUUAGUACCUUGCUGUUUUGACGUUACCAACAGAAUAAUCACCGGCUAACUUCGUG
rnacentral:rRNA from 1 species